AAAUAACAUACCUUCUCUCCGGCUCUCCAUGGUGCAUUUUAUUGGUGACAUUUACCCAUAUACUGCUUUUAUUUUGUGCCCUUUACAAUUCUGCUAACUUGAAAGUUCGACUUCGUGCUAUCAUCUCAAGAUGUUGUAAGUAAAGCUCAUUGGUCAUUGCUACAAAAUGAAAAAUGUGUUAUAUGGGAAGUACGGUUUAACAAUACAAAAAUCAAAAUCAGAAGAUAGGGAACAU